rnacentral:rRNA from 1 species
GACGAACGCUGGCGCCGUGCCUAAUACAUGCAAGUCGAGCGAGCUUGCCUAGAUGAUUUUAGUGCUUGCACUAAAUGAAACUAGAUACAAGCGAGCGGCGGACGGGUGAGUAACACGUGGGUAACCUGCCCAAGAGACUGGGAUAACACCUGGAAACAGAUGCUAAUACCGGAUAACAACACUAGACGCAUGUCUAGAGUUUGAAAGAUGGUUCUGCUAUCACUCUUGGAUGGACCUGCGGUGCAUUAGCUAGUUGGUAAGGUAACGGCUUACCAAGGCAAUGAUGCAUAGCCGAGUUGAGAGACUGAUCGGCCACAUUGGGACUGAGACACGGCCCAAACUCCUACGGGAGGCAGCAGUAGGGAAUCUUCCACAAUGGACGAAAGUCUGAUGGAGCAACGCCGCGUGAGUGAAGAAGGGUUUCGGCUCGUAAAGCUCUGUUGGUAGUGAAGAAAGAUAGAGGUAGUAACUGGCCUUUAUUUGACGGUAAUUACUUAGAAAGUCACGGCUAACUACGUGCCAGCAGCCGCGGUAAUACGUAGGUGGCAAGCGUUGUCCGGAUUUAUUGGGCGUAAAGCGAGUGCAGGCGGUUCAAUAAGUCUGAUGUGAAAGCCUUCGGCUCAACCGGAGAAUUGCAUCAGAAACUGUUGAACUUGAGUGCAGAAGAGGAGAGUGGAACUCCAUGUGUAGCGGUGGAAUGCGUAGAUAUAUGGAAGAACACCAGUGGCGAAAGCGGCUCUCUGGUCUGCAACUGACGCUGAGGCUCGAAAGCAU